rnacentral:tRNA from 1 species
GAAGGUAUAGCUCAGUGGUAGAGUGCAUGCUUAGCAUGCACGAGGUCCUGGAUUCAAGUCCUAGUACCACCA